rnacentral:rRNA from 1 species
AUUGAACGCUGGCGGCAGGCCUAACACAUGCAAGUCGAGCGGUAGAGAGGUGCUUGCAUCUCUUGAGAGCGGCGGACGGGUGAGUAAUGCCUAGGAAUCUGCCUAGUGGUGGGGGAUAACGUUCGGAAACGGACGCUAAUACCGCAUACGUCCUACGGGAGAAAGCGGGGGGAUCUUCGGACCUCGCGCCAUUAGAUGAGCCUAGGUCGGAUUAGCUAGUUGGUGAGGUAAUGGCUCACCAAGGCGACGAUCCGUAACUGGUCUGAGAGGAUGAUCAGUCACACUGGAACUGAGACACGGUCCAGACUCCUACGGGAGGCAGCAGUGGGGAAUAUUGGACAAUGGGCGAAAGCCUGAUCCAGCCAUGCCGCGUGUGUGAAGAAGGUCUUCGGAUUGUAAAGCACUUUAAGUUGGGAGGAAGGGUAGGUAACCUAAUACGUUGCUACUUUGACGUUACCGACAGAAUAAGCA